rnacentral:lncRNA from 13 species
CAGCCAUGUGCCUAGCACAUAGCUCUGCUCAGUAAAUACUUGUUAUAUAAAUAAAUUCAUAGUAAGUAGAAGAUAGAAAAAUGAAGAAGGUGGCUGGGUGCAGUGGCUCAUGCCAUAAUCCAAGUACUUUGGGAGGCUGAGGCGGUAGGAUUAUUUCAACUCAGGAGUUCGAGACCAGCCUGGGCAACAUGGUGAAACCCUGUCUCUGCAAAAAAUAAAGAAAGAAAGGAAGAAUGUUUGAGGACCUCCCAAAUAUAGGACUAGUGCUCCGUUACUAAUACACUAAAGAGGAGAUUGGUGGUAUGGAUCAGCACAAACCAAAAGAUGGAGAUUCGCUCUUGUUGCCAAGGCUGGAGUACAAUGGUGUGAUCUCGGAUCACUGCAACCUCCACUUCCUGGGUUCAAGCAAUUCUCCUGCCUCAGCCUCCCAAGUAGCUGGGAUUACAGGUACCUGACACCUAAUUUUUUAUAUUUUUAGUAGAGAUGGGGUUUCACAGCCAGGCUGGUCUCAAACUCCUGACCUCAGGUGAUUCACCUGCCUCAGCCUCCCAAAGUGCUGGGAUUAUAGGCAUGAGC